AGAAGGGCUUUUGAUCAGAUCCAGUACGACAGUUUCUAGGCUCCUGACUUUUGUUUGCCCCUUGACUGGUUGCUGUUCUAUUUUGUAGGAAAUUUAACAAUGUUGCAGGCUUAUCUGCUACAAUGGUCUAAUGACGAGAUUCAGAAAAUAACGUAUAACAAGAAUAUCAGGCACUAGAUUUCUAAGAAUUGUAGAACACUAUCUCUACGUUGGAUUAUUUUAUUUACCUGCAUUAUUUUCAUCAGGGUCACUGUAGAUGGAAGCCAGGAUAAACAAGGAGAAAAUGACAAAAGCCAACAAGAUGAAAGCUGUUUCAAGUAACACCGAGCGGCUACUGUUGGUUCUGAUGGACAUUGAUUUCUGCACAAGUUUUCAAGCCACCCUUUCCCUGCACACGAAGUUGAACACUGUCUUUUCAUCUUCAGUUGCCAUUCUUUGGUCUGGAUUGGAGAUUUCUGUCUCCUUACCCCUAUGGAGCACCUUACUACAAAGACCCAAAUCUUCAGGCUUUUAUUGAGGCUUUGCUUAGGCAUGAGGAUUUAGGCCUAUAAGCAAAGUUUCAUUCUGAGUUCACUCAAAAACUGUUUCCACUGUAAAUGUGUGUGUAUUCUGUAAUUGUCAAUCAACUUAAAAUAGAUUUGAUGUUAAUGUGAAGAAAGGCAAAAAUGAUUCAGUUAAUAUAUUAUAUCUAUGUUAUUCACACACACUGAACAAUAUGAUGCACAAUUUCUCGUUUUCCUAUGCAUUUUACGCAGAUAAUCUGGUUUGAGAUUUCCUUUAGACUCCUAAAAAGUAAGGUUAUGAUUUCAAUUUGUUCCUUUUUUUAUUAAAGCCUCAGUACCUCUUGGGCCUGAUUUCACCUUUCCACCCUCUUCUAAAAUCCUGUCCCUUUGGUAUUUUUAAAGUGCCCCCUCCUAUGUCAGAUAAUAUAGACAUUUAAAGGUGAUCGUUGUGGACAUAAUGAUUUCCUCCUACCCCUUAGCUUUAAGUGGGGAAGGACUACCAGUACUGUUUUCAAUUUUUACUUUUGAUGUAUUGUC
rnacentral:lncRNA from 1 species